rnacentral:sRNA from 19 species
UAACCAGGGCGCUACGUCCUGGCAUAAUAAUAACGAUGAAAUUCCUCUUUGACGGGCCAAUAGAAAUAUUGGCCAUUUUUUU